GUUGAUAGGCUAUAGAUGUAAAGGCAGUAAUGUCAUAGUCGAGUAGUACUAAUAACCCGUAAGCUUAUUGUA
rnacentral:rRNA from 1 species